UCACUUCUCCAUCAAAGGGCAGGCCAAAA
rnacentral:sRNA from 1 species